GUUACUUUUCUUUUUUUGUGUGUUGAGAACACCUAAGAUGUAUGCUCUGUGUAUGUGCUUGGCUAAAGAGCCAAUGGGGUGAAGCUAGCAUCUGUGGGAUUAUGACUGAACGCCUCUAAGUCAGAAUACUGCCCAGGUUGAGUGAUACAGCAGCACCAGGGAAGACUUGGUUGGUCUUAUAUAACUUGUUUCCUCACUGUGCUACGGCACUGGGUUCCAGUGCAGAGAGCCCUUUGUCCUGGACACACUGCAUGGCUGAAAAGGCGGCCACACCUCACCCAUCAUGCACUGCAUGCUUGUGGGGAAACUGGUACUAAAGCAUUUGUAGACAACCUGCUUCUGGGUCAGGGUUUCAUACCUAGCAGAGCAGCUCUCUUUCUAUGGUCUAUCAAAAGUCAGCCCUCAACACAAGGGUUU
rnacentral:ncRNA from 1 species